CUCACAGUAAUAGAAAAAAGUUCUGACAAGAUAAAAUAUAUUUAAUUGUAGUUCUUAAGGUGAUUGAAGAUUCUAACAAAACUCACAUUCUGAAAUGAUCUAACAUUAGAAUACUGUUCUCAUGUUCCAGACGCACACAGCUCUCAGCAAAGUGACAGAAAUAACUAAAACAAAGGAGAAGGUUAGGGUUAGUUCAUGAAUGUUUAUGCACAUUAUUGUCCUCAUCCACUUUAUACAACGUAUGGAACAUCAUCUAUUCUUUUUGCUCAUUCCCAGCGGGGUGAUCUGACAACAGCAAAGACCAGGAACAGUGUCAACAGUGGGAGUCCCUGAUAGAAAUAAUAUAUACAUAUAUACACUCAAGGAAAAAGGAAACGCACCAUUUUCAUUUUCUCAGUUUCUCAAAAACAUUACAGCCAGUGAAACAUGACAGACUCCAAUGAGUUUAGUUCUAUUCUGAGCCAAACUGCAGUGACUGUUUCCUGGUUCUGGUUGAUGGAUUCUGAUGAGCAAUAAACUGUAUUUUUGUAUUAAUCACCUAUGUGUGGGUCAAACUCAGAAAUGGACCUGUCCUCAACUGUGAACAACCAUUCCCUAUAAAAAGACUCCAAAAUGGAAAAAAGCACAUUUGUUCACAGUGCCAUCAGCUGAAGGAGCACAGGGCUGCAGCCUGUUUGGACUCCAUCACUCUACUGCUGAGCGUUUCCACACCACUGGAUCCUCCAUGACCGUCCCAGACCUGGUGGACCACAUGUCACUGCUGCACAGCACCGAGUGGAUCAGCUGUCAGAUCUCUGUGACGGGUCCAUGAGGAGACGGAUAACGAGUGUCCAUGAGGUGAAUGGAUCAUGUUAGUUACUGACAAUGGAAUCAAAUAUCUGUUUGUGUUUACUGUGCUGCUUCAUUGUUUGGUCCUGGUAUUGUUACUGGAACUGUCCUCAGCGUUCUGUAUCACAGGAGACUGCAGUGUUCCUCAUAGAACGUCUGCCUCUUCUGUUAAAGCUGCUAAUGAAUGGAACAAGCUCCCUGACAAUCUGAAGAACGAUGAUGGUCAAAAACUGGCUUUAGAGCAUCAGUUUAGCACUCACUAACUAUGGAGCAGACAGUAGUAGUGAAGCUGUUACAUGUUAUUAUCUACACUUUGACUAUUCUGUAUUUUUGUUUUCUAUGAAUUUUAUGUGUUUUUAAUGUUUGUAUUGUAUUCUAUAUUGUAUGCCAUCUUUAUGACUGCUAUAUUUUUAUGUAUGUUUAUUGUGCAAAGGACUGCAGAUGGAAAUGAGCUCUGUGCUAAAUCUGGUGCAGGCUUAUUUUUAGUGUUACUGCACAUUGUCCUUUUAAAUAAACUAAACUAAAGCAUUGAUGAACUGGGUCUGAAUAUCAGGGACAGUAAAUGGUUGAUGUGCACGUGUAAUAUUCCAUCAGAAAUAAGUAACAAAAAAUGUGUUAAAAGAGCAGUGGUGCCUUUCUUUUUCCUUGUGUGUGUGUGUGUGUCUGUUUGUCUCUCUCUCUCUCUCUAUGUGUGUGUGUGUGUGUGUGUCUGACUGAAAGUAGAAAUGUGACAUUUCCCACUUCUUUUAUUUUGAUGUUUUUUCUCCCAGGACUAACUGAUGCAGUCACAUGGACCUCAUGGACUCACGUCUCCAUAACUUGUCAGCACACAGAAGCUCAACGACAUCCAGAACAACUGCUAAUGUCAACCAUUAAUAUAAACUGUUAAUAUAAUCAGAAACAUGUUUGAAGACUUUGUUUUCUUCUUGGAUCAGACCAACAGUCCCACUGAGUACGUUGUAAUGGUGGAGUCCUGGGGCCUGUUUCAUGAAGCAGGUUCACUGAAAACUCUGAGUUUCUUAACCCUGAAAUGAGGGAAACUCAGAGUUUUCUGUUUCACAAAGCGAGGUAACUUAACCCUGAGACAGAGGGGUAACUCUAGCCUGUUUCACAAAGAGGGGUAACUUCAACUCUCGGUCAGUUACCGCAGUAACAGACUCUAUGACUCUAACCUGGUCACCAGCAGGUUUAUCUGAGAAAACCUCCAGUUUCUCUCCGUCUCCGCCCUCUUUCAGCCACACGCUGUUUCAUUUCCUCAUUCAUUCAGUCAGUAAGCGAGCGAGUUUUGGCGUAGAACAGCUUUUAUUAACGAUCCAGUGGAUAAAGGAGCAGCAUUACUGCACAGAUAAUUAAAUAUUCGUCGGUAGAUUGUUAUCAGACCGAGCAUCAAUGUUCUCGCAUUUCCGGACAGUUAUCGGUUUGAGCGGUACCGUUUCAUAAUCGUUUCAAGUCCAUAAUCUGCAUAAACAACCUAAUCCGUCCUUACAUUUACAUUACCAACCAGUCAUGCUCUCACAUCCAGCAGAUAUUGUGUGUUGCGCUGCGGUUCUUUGCAAAUGAAAGUUUUUAUAUGAUGUCAGAGAUGCAGAGUAAGGCAACUGUAUGGAGGACAGUCAGAAAAGUUUUCCUGGCUCUGAAACGACUUUUACCAUCAUUGUGGACAUAAACCUGUCAGAGCAUCAAGGAGGAUCCACAGGAUUACAGGUGAAUGAUGUAGAGAUCUGUUAAAUUCAUUUUAAAUCAUAUUCUGUUAAUGACAUUGUGCUGCAGCCUCAGACUGGGAUUAGUCAUUUUAAUUUCUUUUAGGAUUUCCCAGUGUGAUUGGCUGCAUAGAUCCACACACAUCCCCAUCACAGCUCCCUCACAUCAUGAACAGGAAGUCCAUUCACAGCAUAAAUGUGCAGAUCAGAUGUGAUGCUGCAUACAUCAUUUCUAAUGUGGAGGCCACGUGGUCUGGGUCUGUUCAUGACUCCAGGAUUUAUGGAGAGUCUAACCUGAGCAACAGACUGCAGCGUGGUCAGCAGCAUAAAGAUUUUCACAAUAGAAUUCUCUUGUCUCCCUCCUUUAAUAUGCUCUGAUGUAUCCACUAUACAUUACAGGAGAGUUUGAUGGCCUUCUGCUGGGUGACAGGGGUUACCAUGACAACCCAGGCUGAUGACCUCAUACCCUGACCCUGAACCAGGCCCCCAACAGAACUUCAACCGGACUCACUGCAGGACCAGAGCCCGGGUGGAGAUGACCAUAGGCCUGCUGAAAGCCCGUUUCCAGAGCCUACGUCUCCUCAGGGUGACCCCUGAGAGGGCCUGUGAUAUUACUGUGGCAUGUGUUGUUCUUCAUAAUAUUACCACUAUUAGAGGAGAGCAACACCCUGCCCUACAAACUGAAGACCCAGAUGAUGAGCCCAUCCACCUGCAGCUAUCCAGGACAGCAGAGCAGUCAGAGACACCGUAUGCAAUAAUCACUUUAGAGUUUAAGUCACCAUCAUCACCACCACAGCAAAUAAAGACAUGAUACACAUUU